rnacentral:lncRNA from 1 species
UCGUAUUUGACAAAGAAUUUGAAAUGUGAAAGAAACAACAUGGAUGAAACAAAGAAAGAAUGGUCUAUAUUGUAUUUCUGAUUACAACAAUUAUAUAACAUCAUAAUGGAAGACUAAGAACUCAAAGUAGAGAAUUCUGCAGACGAAGAGCUUGUUAAUGAAGGCGAUCCUUCACCACUCUGUGGGAAAUCAGAGAUGGAAGCAAUCAUACGGCUGAUGCUAAGUGACCGCGCUGGUUUGAAGCUAAGUGAUUUUAUCAACUUGUUAUCAGAGAAGACAUUAGACGAAUUUGAAAGGAUGAAAUAAACCAGAGCCUGAACAACCACAAACAUGACCACCUUGAUGACAAAUGUUUCUGCUUCCAUCACUACUCAAAGAUUUCUUGAUGCCAAUACUUGGAAAGGAACUCGCGUGAAGUUGGGUAUGGAGAAAAUAAGAUGUGUAUGAACUCUGAAAAAUACUGGAUGUGUUUAGGAUUAUAUAUAGAAUGGUGCUGUUCUAAAGAAGUUGGCUGUGACUUGUUUCUGGAAAGAAGGAGGAAGCUGUUUUAGUUUGGCCUUAAACGUGAGUUUUUGUUAGGAAAGUGGCUUCAUCUUAUCCAACAUUAGUUGUUAUGACCUAUGACUCAUCAGUCAUUGCUAAAUUGUAUAAACAGGAAAAGUAAAGAAACUUGAGGGUGGCUUCUGUUAUUAAUAAUUUAAAUGAUUUCUUCUCCUUUCUGCUAGCUGUUUUCUAGAAGACAAAAUUAUAUAAUGUUAAGCCUCAAUCACCAGACUACUUGCAUUAUAUUCUCAAGUUGCUUGGUUUGGACAGGGGCUUCAUCUGAAGACUAUAAAAUUAACAGCUUCUUGAAACUUCUGAUUUUUUCCAAAUUAUUUCAGUAUCUUACAAAUUGACCAAGUUAUCCCAGGCACCCGGGGAAAAGACAGUCUCUGUACUUUUUAUGGUAUCUCUUUGCUUCUUGGAAAACAAUUAAGGCCUGUGUAUAUCUCUGAAUUUCAUUCAUCAACUAAUCGAAAAUUAAAACAGGCAUAUCACUGACAAUAGACCCUAUCCACUCAGAGCAACUUAAAAUCCUCGACAUCUAUUAAAGUAUGAAUUGAUUCGUUUGCUACUCGAAUAGGACUAUAUCCUGUAUUCAUGAUUGGUCACAUGUUAUAUACUCUUCAAAUUGAAAAAAUACAGUCUUCAUGAAUUUCCCAGUUCUCUGAUAAACAAUUCUCUUAUUUUUAUACAUAGGCAUACUUUAGCUCUGUCACUCCAGUCUGGUGAAUGCCUUCAUCAGCUUAGUACCUGGGAACAAGCUUAAUUGAAGACUUGUUCUGCUAUCGAUCAAGAGCUUGAGCAUCAUCCUGGAAUUAAUUAUUUUUACAGUGGUACUACUGCUCUGUCCAUCUGAGACAGGUGAGGCAAUAUGCUACAACAUUUAUAAAUUGAUUGAAUUUUUUCAUUUCUGCUCUUAGGCUCUAUUUAUCAAGAGCUGUCAGCAACUACUUCAUCAAGGAUUUCGGUUUUAUUUCUGAGGCUGAAGUGACACAUCAAGCAUUACCAGGGAUGAUCAAAUUUGAUAAAUUGGCUACAGAUGGUGUCUGUGUUAUAGUAGCUUAUGAUUGAACUACUACUCUAUAUAGUGACAUAAUUAUUAGCUAAUUCUACCGCUUUUAUGAUUGAGAAUUCUAAUACCGAGUCAGAAAAUCCGGGCAGUUAUAUUGUUCAGGGCUAUUUAAUAUUGUCAGACGUAUCUCAGCUCCUUAGCUUUCACAUCCCUUUGAGGCAAUAACUUUUCAUUGUUCAACUUGUGAUGCAUCAGGUGAAUAUAUAGGAGCAGUAUUUCUCUCGUUUCGUAUUUGACAAAGAAUUUGAAAUGUGAAAGAAAAACAUGAAUGAAUCAAAGAAACAAUAGUCUUAAUUGUAUUUCUGAUUAUAACAAUUAUAUUACACCAUAAUGGAAGACUAAGAAUCAAAGAAUACCCCAUGAGUCCAUGACACUGAGUUGCUACAUUUGAGAACCACAGGCAUCAAAAGCACUGCACAGCUACUAGUAUUGCUGUAUACAUUUUUAGUUACAACUCAAAUUAGAGAAUUCUACAGAUGAAGAACUUGUUAAUAAAGGGGAUCCUUCACCACUCUGUGGGAAAUCAGAGAUGGAAGCAAGCAUACGGCUGAUGCUAAGUGACCGCGCUGGUUUGAAACUAAGUGAUUUUAUCAACUUGUUAUCAGAGAAGACAUUAGACGAAUUCGAAAGGAUUAAAUAAACCAGAGCCUGAACAACCACAAACAUGACCACCUUGAUGACAAAUGUUUCUACUUCCAUUACUCUUCAGCACUUUCAGCCCCAAAGUUUACUACUACUCAAAGAUUUCUUGAUGCCGAGACUUGGAAAGGAACUCGUGUAAAGUUGGAUACGGAGAAAAUAAUAUCUGAAUGAACUAUGAAGAAUACUGGAUGUGUUUAGGAUUAUAUAUAGAAUGGUGCUGUUCUAAAGAAGUUGGCUGUGACUUGUUACUGGAAAGAAGGAGGAAGCUGUUUUAGUUUGGCCUUAAACGUGAGUUUUUGUUAGGAAAGUGGCUUCAUCUUAUCCAACUUUAGUUGUUAUGACUCAUCAGUCAUUGCUAAAUUGUAUAAGACAGAAAACAAAAGAAACUUGAGGGUGGCUUCUGUUAUCAAUAUUUUAAAUGAUUUCUUCUCCUUUCUGUUGGCUGUUUUCUAGAAGACAUACUACACUGUUCAAGCUCAAUCACCAAACCACUAGCAUACUUUUCUUAAGUUUCUUGAUGUGGACAGGGG